GUCUAUGAGCAUACCACCCUGAAUACAACCAAUCUCCCCUAAGCUAAGCAGUGUCGGGCAUGGUUAGUGCUUUGGGUGGAAGAAAUGGAUUAGGGAUUCAGGAUCCAGAAGGAAACCUCUGGGCAUCUAGGUG
rnacentral:rRNA from 1 species